rnacentral:tRNA from 1 species
UUUAGGAUGGCCAAGUGGUGUAAGGCACCAGACUCAAGGCACACACCUUGCCCAUGGGCAUUCUGCUCUCUGCACAGAGGUGUGGGUUCAAAUCUCACUUUUGAUA